rnacentral:rRNA from 1 species
GAUGAACGCUGGCGGCGUGCCUAAUACAUGCAAGUCGAGCGAACAGAUGAGGAGCUUGCUCCUCUGACGUUAGCGGCGGACGGGUGAGUAACACGUGGAUAACCUACCUAUAAGACUGGGAUAACUUCGGGAAACCGGAGCUAAUACCGGAUAAUAUAUUGAACCGCAUGGUUCAAUAGUGAAAGACGGUUUUGCUGUCACUUAUAGAUGGAUCCGCGCCGCAUUAGCUAGUUGGUAAGGUAACGGCUUACCAAGGCAACGAUGCGUAGCCGACCUGAGAGGGUGGUCGGCCACACUGGAACUGGGACACGGUCCAGACUCCUACGGGAGGCAGCAGUAGGGAAUCUUCCGCAAUGGGCGAAAGCUUGACGGAGCAACGCCGCGUGAGUGAUGAAGGUCUUCGGAUCGUAAAACUCUGUUAUUAGGGAAGAACAAAUGUGUAAGUAACUAUGCACGUCUUGACGGUACCUAAUCAGAAAGCCACGGCUAACUACGUG